rnacentral:lncRNA from 1 species
AUGGGGAAUCCACAAGAAGGAAAUAACAAAGGAAAGGGCAAAGUUUAUGAGAACUAUGAAUUUUAGACCAUGGAUGAUAUCAAUGAGUUGUUGCACCUCUUGGUGGAUGCUAUCAAUAGUGGAUUGUGUGAUGCUAAUGGGUCACUUAGCAAGCAAAAUGUAGAAAGAGUGAUACUUCCUCGUCUUAAUGCGAAAAUUAGGUUUCCAAAAACUUAUAAUCAUUACUUGAGCCGAAUGAAGUGGUUUAGGAAGCAAUAUAACAAAAUAUCUACGCUUAUGCAUAACAACUCUGGGUUUGGGCUAG